CAUCCUGAGAGAAGUCAGCCAACCCGUUGGCUUGAAGAAUAGAGUGAUCAUGACAGGAAAUUCACAAAACAUUUAACAUUGAAGUCAUAUCCAGGUGUGAUUUUGUUUUUCUAUUUCUUGCUACCCUACUUUUGUACAUAAACAAGUUGAUGCACAAAAGGCACCACAAACAUGAACCUUGUGAAAUCUUUAUUUACUUGAUUUUCAUAUUUGACCUUCUUAUACGCUUUGAUCAUUUUCAAUUCGAUUCUAGGUCCCAUUGGUGCUGCUGUUUACUUGUUGCUCAUGAAUCCACAUAACUUUAGGUCAAGGAUUAAGAAUCGGAAUCAUACAUGUGUUCAAGAAUUGCGGAAAAUUUUGCUAGCUACCGAAUUGCCACCUGCAAGAUAAUCAAUUGUUAUUUGUUUGUUGAUGAGUUUUUUAUUUCUUCCUUUCCUAAGGCACGGUUUGUAUUUAUCGUUCAUCCUUGUAUUCAAAUUCAUUUUUCAUAUACCUUCAUCUCUUAACCACUUCAAGCAUUGCAAACACAAACAGAGGUAAUUUAUCGUUGUUUCCAUAUGACGGACCUAGUUUUGCUUAAAAGUUGGCUGAUAACAAGCAAAGUUUGCUCGAUUGGUCGUUGGAGUAUCAUCUUAAGAGGAAAACAUCAAGGAAUGUAAUUAAACCACCUAUUUCUGUGUAUAUUUGUUACUUCUGGCACUGAAUGGUAGUUCUGCUAUCAAAUUGUUGUUUCUAAGAUUACCAUCUGAUUUCUCUUUUAAGCUUGUUGUGCUGUCUUUCAUCUUAUGUAUUUGUUGCUCAUCAUCAAAGAAUAUAUGUCAAAGUGGAGCUUCCGAGAACACCUUUCUCCCUGCUUCUGAUGGAUAUACAAGUUGCUAGUUAUCGAUUAUUAGUGUUAGUGAUGCUAUUAGUUAUUGUCUAAUCUAAAACUACUUUCGAUUACAAAUGGCUAAUAUUCUUUUGUAAACUUACAGGUAUGUGCAUGAUUCUUAAGUUUGGAAUUCAAGAAAUGAAGCUCAGAAAAAUUGGGUGACCUAGCUAAGGCAGGGGUCUCAGACUUCUUUUGUUAAGAGUUUGUUUUUUUAUCAUAAUUUAUCUGAAAUGAUUUUCCAUCAUCAUCACCAGUCUUCAGAAAAUACAACGUAAGAAUGUAAUCUGGGUAGACAUCUGCAAGAAACAAGUAAAUUGCUUAGUGGAAUCACCCUAAAUUCUAAAAGACCUUCUAUUUGAGUUCUGCUUCCAUCCGUUUCAGUGUCUUCAACGGGCUCUUCUGCUCUUAAUUUGUGGAUCUAGUGUCGGUGGGAUUGRUGGUCAGAAUUUGUGCCUUUUGGUCUGCACCAUCUUCAUCUGUUCCAUUUGAUUAGGUCUUCAAUGUUGCUCCUGAGAUGGUAUCUUGCAUCCCUAUUUCUGUAGUCUUGAUUGSAUCUUUGUGAACCAUUAUCAAUACAAAAUGACCAGCAAACCACGAAACUACAAACAGUCAUAAGAACUAUAAGCAACUUCAGAAGUGCAGAAAGUCUUGGCAAGAACCAAAUUGAAUACCAGGUAACAAGUUGUUAUUAAGUUGUUUAUGCCUUUCUUCCCCUAGGCACGGUUUAUGCUCACUCAUCUACCUUUCAUUUCCAAUAUAGCCUUCAUCAUACAGGUGGCUGCCGCUUUGACAAUUAUCAUUGUCAGAUGAUUUGCAUAAUCUGUCAUUUCUUAUAUUUUCUGUUAUUUAAACUUUUGAACUGAACCAUCCACGUGAUUGAUUUGUGAUAUCGCUYAKUCCAAAUUGCAAAGAAGAAUCUUGAGUUAACUGGAAACCACKCUGAAGUGAGCCAACGGACAUGGUGUUCAAGMUMUUGCAGUCAAGGKUGACAAGGUGAUCAAUGUACCCAGAAAGUAAGUUCACACAGGAGACUCGUUUGUGUACUAUGCUCGGAUUAUCUCCUACAUCCCCACAUAUCCACUUGGUGCUGAACAAGAGGUUUUUAUUUUCAUUUGCUAGUUUUAGAGUCUUAAAACUUUUGUCUUUUUUGCUCAGGUGCAUACUUGAAAGUCAAUGAAUUGAUGUGUUUUACUUGAUUAUCUGAAGUGAUGGUGUUAAGUUGAUUUUUGAAGUUUAUGGAAGGACCAUGCCAUUGUUUGUCCAGGCAGGCCAGCAUCCACUAGUUAGCCAGUGAAGAACAACACCACUGCUAUUUUUCCCAUAUUGAUCCCUUACGGCCCUACCCUGUGGUCAUGCUAAAAAAGGUAAGUAGUUAAUGCAUUUGAUUUGUCUUCCUUGUAUAUUGGAGGUCUUACAUGUCAUCUAUUUGAAACUUCUUCUCACAAAUUUUGAAUGGUCAAUAACUCCUUUCAGUUGUUAAUUGUCGUAAUAAUUCCCUUUUUGGAGUCAACACGGCUUGGCUGAUGCUGACCAAUGUGUAUGUUCGUGCUCAUGACUCUUGUACCACAGGGUUGUAGUCACAUGUAAGCAUCCAACCUAUCAUAAAAUUGAGUUGGAUGUAGAAGAUUAGUUAGAGUUUUAGACCAACAUAUGGAUGUAUCAUGAAACUUUUUGUACUUCUAUUCGUGCUUGAUCAAGAAACCACAAAUUUUUUAGAUGAGCAUGUUGCUAUAUCUAGAAAACCAGUUGUUCACGAUUAAGAUAAGGUUUCAUGAGGCAUGGUUGAGAUAAUGUGUGCAAGGCUGUUGGACAUUAUUGGAUGUUCCAGGACAAUGUUGAAUACUUGAGCCAAAUAGCUGUAUCUAAGUGUGAGUUAUGGCUUGAGCAAUGAAAUGCACCUGUGGGUUAGUU